CUCAGAGAUCCUCCUGCCUCAGCCUCCCGAGUGCUGGGAUCACCGGUGUGCUUCACACACCUGCCCGGGAGGAAGCCUGACUUUGAGCCCGAGAAGGACGAGCCCCUGAGAUGGAAGGAGAGCUCAGCGAGGGUUGGCUCACUCCAGGCUGGGGCGUCCUACACAGCCCCAUCCUCCUCAGGGGUGGGAGGCUGGGACAGGCCGCAGCCCCUGGCACCGCUCAGAGGCAGGGAGGGCCCUGAGUCCACUUACUCAGAUUUCCCGUCCCUCUGCGGCCCGGAAACCCAGAGUGACGUGGCAGGUGGUGGCAGCUCUGCGACACCGGCCUCCUCCCAGGACCCCAGUCCAGUUGCUUCCAAAGCCCAUGAGUGCAGGAGUCUCGGGACAUCGGGACGGGAACCAGUCCUGAGCCAGCUCCUGGGCCACACCAGCUGGCCAGGGCAGCAGCCAUGGGAGGGGACAGGUGGGGCCACAGGACAGCGACUCGGGAGCCUGGUGCCUGGGGCUGGGCCCGCUUGACCCCAGUAGCCGAGCCGGGCUUGGCUCCAUCAGCGCCCUGGGCUCCAUCCCUCCAUCCCGGGCAACAGGGUCGGGGCCAGAGGGAACUGCAGGGCACCGAGGGUGGAAAAAGCCAGGAUGGGGCUGAAGGUCCCUAAGUUUGGAGGAGGAGCAGUGGCCUGCAGAUGGGAGCACUUUAAGACCUGGGUUUGUUAGGUUUUCUCUCAAAUCCCUUUUGAUGCCCACAGUCUGAGAAACAAACGUGAGGGGGUGGAUGGUGCGUGAACCUCCUCGUUUCCAACCCGCUGAGCGCCAGCCCUGAUCCGGCCCUGUUCCCCAUGGAGCCCUCGAGGGUCUGCUGCGGAGCCCAGGCUGGACUGACCUCGUGGAGAUCCUCCUGCCUCAGCCUCCUGAGCGUGGGGGUUCUAGGUGUGAAGCACUGUGGUCAACUUGGACCUCUGUAUCUUUCAAAAAUUUUUUAUAUGAAUUUCACUGACGCCAAAAUUAGAGCGUGGGCUGUAGGAGCCAGGGAAGAUGAGAGUCUCUGGAUCACAGAAG
rnacentral:lncRNA from 1 species